CGAUUUUGAUUUCAUGGCUUAUGAAAGUUUCUGUAAUUUGAAAGAAAAUGAUAUCAUAUCUGAACAUCAAAUCUAUUUGAAAAAUUUAGAAAGCUUUAGAGAUUCUAAAGGUGUAAAGCAUCGGUUAAGAAAUGCAGUACAAUUUUGGAAGAGUAUAAAUGCAUCUGACUUCAUUAUCAGUACUAUUAGCACUGGCUAUGUAAUUCCAUUUAUUAUGCCACCAAAAGAAAUGUACAUGAAAAAUAAUAAGUCUGCCAUACUCAAUGCUGAAUUUGUUUCUGACACUGUUUCAGAAUUGUUACUUUCAAGUUGUAUUAUACAAGUUCCUUUCAUACCUGUUGUGGUAAAUCCGCUAAGUGUAGCAAUGAACAGUUCUGGUAAGAAGAGGUUAAUCCUUGAUCUGAGUGUUUUGAACAAGUUUGUAAGAAGAGACAAAGUGAAAUUUGAAGACUGGAAAAUAGCAUUGCAAUAUUUUCAAAAAGGGUUUCAUAUGUUUAAAUUUGACCUUAAGUCUGGUUAUCAUCAUAUAGAUAUUUGCUCAGCACAACAAACUUUUUUGGGUUUUUCUUGGAAUAAUUUAUUUUAUGUAUUUACAGUUUUGCCUUUCGGUCUUUCUUCGGCACCUUACAUUUUUACAAAGUGUUUACGACCAAUGGUGAGAUACUGGAGGCAGUCGGGUGUCAACAUUGUGUUGUAUUUAGACGAUGGCCUGGGAUUGGCUGAAUCAUACGAGAAAGGGGUAUCUGAUAGCCUUUUUGUUAAAGAUUCCUUAGAAAAGGCUGGGUUUUUGAGAGACGUAUACAAGAUUGUAAGAGCACUUUAGCAGAUUUGUUUCAUAGAUUACCAAAAAUUACUGCAAGACAAUUGGCUCAGUUUACGGGCAAGGUUAUUUGUAUGGGACCAGUGAUCGAUGUUUUCCAAACAGGAAGAUGGGCCUCAAUUCAGACAUCGGGGGAAAAUUUGGCGGACCUGAAGUUCUUCUGUGAAAAAUCCAAAUCUGAAAGUACUUUUCGUAAAUAUCGGUAUGCCUUUAAUUCAUGGAUAAAGUGGUGUUAUUCGCAAAGUCCUAAAGUGCAACACUUCCCUGCUUCUGAUUUCAACGUUUCCAUAUAUUUGAUUAAUUUAUCAAAACAAUUUAACUCUGUUGCAAAAGUUAAUGAAGCCUUUUAUGCCAUUUCUUGGGCUCAUGAAAUUUCAGGAACACAAAAUCCUUGUCAUUCAUCAUUAGUCGUUUCAGUUUUGGAGGGAGCUCGCCGCUUAAGUGCUAAACCUGUUACCAAGAAAGAACCAAUAACUUCUGAAAUUUUACAGCAAAUAGUGAAUCGUUACGGGACCGGAAGUAGCAGUUUACCAGACAUUCGAAUUUCAUGUAUGUGUCUAUUAAGUUAUGCAGCUUUUUUACGUUUUUCAGAACUGGUCAACUUAAAACGCUCUGACAUUACAUUUUAUGAGGACCAUCUUUCUUUGUAUAUCUCUAAGAGUAAAACAGAUAAAUAUAAGACUGGGAGUAAUGUAAUAGUUUCUAAAACAAAUAAUGUUACUUGUCCGUAUGGUAUGUAACAAUUGUAUUUGAAAAUUGCUGACAUUGCUUCGGAUUCUGAUUGUUUUAUUUUCAGGGCGUUAUCAUUUUGUAAAAAAUCUGGUAAAUAUAAAUUAAGAAAUUCUGGACCAUUGUCUUAUAGUAGAGCAAGGGAAUUAUUACUUAAUGCUUUGGAAAGUGUUGGUGUGGAUAAGUCCAAAUUUGGUCUUCACAGUUUAAGGUCAGGGGGCGCUACUGCGGCUGCUAACGCUGGUGUGAGUGACAGACUGUUUAAGAAGCACGGCAGGUGGCGCUCUGACAACGCAAAAGACGGUUAUGUUCAUGAAAAUGUAAAAUCAUUGAUGUCUGUGUCUCAGUCAUUGAAUAUUUGAAUGUGUUCAAUAAUAAAUAUAACUUACAGUU